rnacentral:rRNA from 1 species
CUGGCUCAGAACGAACGCUGGCGGCAGGCUUAACACAUGCAAGUCGAGCGCCCCGCAAGGGGAGCGGCAGACGGGUGAGUAACGCGUGGGAAUCUACCCUUGACUACGGAAUAACGCAGGGAAACUUGUGCUAAUACCGUAUGUGUCCUUCGGGAGAAAGAUUUAUCGGUCAAGGAUGAGCCCGCGUUGGAUUAGCUAGUUGGUGGGGUAAAGGCCUACCAAGGCGACGAUCCAUAGCUGGUCUGAGAGGAUGAUCAGCCACAUUGGGACUGAGACACGGCCCAAACUCCUACGGGAGGCAGCAGUGGGGAAUAUUGGACAAUGGGCGCAAGCCUGAUCCAGCCAUGCCGCGUGAGUGAUGAAGGCCCUAGGGUUGUAAAGCUCUUUCACCGGAGAAGAUAAUGAC